CUGAGUUAGGGUCUUUUUGGCCCGACCUCCAACCCUUUGUUUAUUAUACCCAUGUUGCUUUGGUGGGCCUGCCUUUCGGGGCUGCCGGGGGCAUCACCGCCCCUGACCCGUGCCUGCCAGGAGCCUUCUUAAAUUCAGUCUUUAACUGUGCUGUCUGAGUCCCAGUAUCAAAAUAACAA
rnacentral:misc_RNA from 1 species